GGAGUGGCUUGAACAGGAUGGAAUUUUGUAGUGAUAAACAAAAUAGUCCUGCACUUUAGUUCAAAAAAUCAAUUGCACGAGUAUAAGAUGAAGACAGCUUGGCUUCAGUUCAGUUCCUGUCACAGCAGCGGGAGUAAGUUUGAGUAGACACUAACAAAGAGUCAAUACCAGUGGCGCUCUGCAAAAAGCUAAUGCAACUGUAAGCUGCGUUAAUAGAAAUAUAGUUUUCCCAAACACGCAGUAAUUUUCUUUGGUUAGAUUGAAUUUGAAGUGUUUUAUUGCCAGAUUUUAAGAGGCACAUUAGCACACUGGAGUGUCUGUUUUUAUUGAAAUUAUGCUUUGGAGUUAAGACUUCGAUCUACAUUGAGAGAUAACUUUCUAAGAAACAGUUCAAGUAAGUGUAUUAUUGAAUUUAUCAUAAGAAAAUUGUUGGGUGUGUUUUUCAGGAAGACUCAGAAAAUUUUCUUUCAUUUCCAGAUAUAGGCAUAGCAGUGUUUCCUAUUUUGCUCUUAAGGACAUUAAAUUGUAUAACCACCCAUAUUUUCCGUUUUGCUUUGGUUGUCAGCAAGUUUAAAAGGCAAAUUUAGGAACUACACAGGGCUAACUUGAGAGAACCGAAUGGCACAUAUCUUGGUGCUCCGGUGGAGGCUGGAGGACCACCUGUCAAGGAUGUGAAAGGUGGGAUACCCAAAGAAGCCCCAAAUACCACCUGCCGACACAAAGAGGAGGGGGAGGAGCGCUGCCUGUCUGUCCUCCUCCCUAACCCACCUCCCAGGGCAGCCGGGCCCAGCCAGCAGGAUCUGCGGCCUUGGGAUGAUUUACAGUCAGAGACCUCAAAAGGCUGGCCCCCAGCUAAGGCCAUAAAAUGGGUUUCCAGUGCUGUUUGAUAGUUCAUGGUGAAGGGUAGAUGCUGCUUCCUGACCUGGGGCUUGUUCCUUCAUUACAGAGCGCCCCUGGUUGCUGUUCUUCUCAUAAGGUCCACAGAGGUCUGGAGUCCAGUCACAAAUGGAUCCUGUGCCCUGGGUCUUCACACACCCAGUCUUCAUUCAACCAGGGCCUCACAUGUCCAGGUCCUUGAAUGCCUGAGUCCUUAUGUGCCUGGCUGUUGGGCAGAAAGACAGAGGACAGGGUCACAGAGUACGCAUGUAAAGCCCCAGUAUCUCCUGUGUCAUCAGGUUCUCCCCCAGUAUCUCCCAUGUCAUCAAGUUCUCCCUCCACUGGGCCAUUUGCAACACACUUUUGUUCCAUCUUUAAAAAAGAAAAAGACACAUGGAAAGAUGCUCUAUAUUGUUAGCCAUGAGGGAAAUGCCAAUCAAAGCCACGAUGAUACAUAACUUCACACCUACUAUUGAUAGAAUGGCUAUAAUCAAAAGAAUGAAUUAAAAAGUGUUGGGGAGGAUGUGGAGAAAUUGGAACCCUCCCACACUUCUGGUGGGAAUGUAAAAUGGUACAGCCACUUUGGAAGCAGUCUGGGAGUUCCAAAAAAAGCUAAAUGAAAAGUUACUUCAUGACCCAGAAAUUCCACUUCUAGGCAUACACCCAAGUAAAAUGAAAAUGAAUGUCCACGCAAAAACCUAUACAUGGAUUUCGUAGCAGCAUCCUUCAUAAUAGCCAAAAGGUGGAAACAACUCAAAUGUCCAUCAUCUGAUGAAUGGAUAAAUCAAAUGUGAUAUAUCCACACACGGAAUAUUAUUUGGUAGUAAAAGAAAUGAACUGCUGAUACAUGCUACAACAUAGAUGAACCUUGGAAACUAUGCUAAGUGAAAGAAGCCAGCCACAGAAGGCCCCGUAUUAUAUGAUUCCACUUAUAGCAAUGUCCAAACAGACAAAUCUAUAGACAUAAAGAAAAUGAAGCUUAGUGGUUGCCAAGGGACGAAGGAGUUGGGAAAAAUUGGGAGUGACUGCUAAUAGGAAUGGGGUUUCUCUUUUUGGGGUCAUGAGAAUAUUCUAUAAUUGAUGAUGGUAAUGAUUGCACAAGUCUGUGAAAAUACUAAAACCCACUGAAUUUUGUACUUUAUAUGAGGGAAUUGCAUGAUAUGUUAAUUAUAUCUCAAUAAAGAUAUUAUUUUUAAAGAAAAGAAAGAAAAAAGAUCUUCUUUGAGCCCUCAUUCCCCUUCAUCUAUUGCCUCAUUCUUUGUUCUCCUUAAGACCAAAACUUUUUGAAAGCGUUGCCUUUACCUACCAUCUCUACUUUCUCACCUUUUCCCAUCAUGUAUCAUCAUCAUCAUUGUUAUUGUUAUGAUUGUUGUUACAAAAUCAGUGUUAUUAUUUUGGAGCCAGGGGUGCAAGGAGCUGAGUUAUUCCUACUGCUCCGCCUGUGAGUAUCAUCCUCACUGCGGACAAGGCCCCUUUGUGCUUUAUUUUGUUCUUUACCCUUCGUUACUGAUCUCAACUCUCCUUUCCCUCUCCACCACAUGCACACACAAAUUUGUCUUGCUUGAGUACCUGAAUUUGCAUUAUUUUUAAAGACAAUUUUACUGUACAGUAUUAAAAAACAGUACUGUACCAUUCUCACUUAGAGACCAUGAGCAUGCUGAUGAGAAUGUAGUCCUGGAAUCACAUCUCUGCCACCUACUCACAAGGUGACUUUAUGCAAGUUAUGUAACCCUUAGUUUCUCCAUACCAUGUGUGUAAAAGGAGGACUUACUCAACAAAGAUUCACAAAUAUUUACUGAGGGCCUGCAUGUGCCAAGCACUGUUCCAAGUACAAAAUCCUUGCCCUCAUGAAGCUUAUAUCUAUAAUUGCUGUG